CAGUGCACCCUUGACCUUACAUAACCAACAAAAAUUGUAACAAAAUACACUUACAAAUCAAAACACAAAAUAUAAAUAAUCCUCACAUAUACAAAAACAAAACACAUAAAUCGGUUCAUACACCCACUGACAUUUUCGCCAUCCGUUUCCGCAGCACGGCGUGCAAAGUUUAGUUCAGCGCCUAGGAAGUCCUGAAGGGAAUGUCCCCGUACCAGAUUGGGUAGACUGUAAGCUGCGUGCUGCUGCACGACUUAUAAUUAAAGCAGUAGAUUUCAUGACAUUAAUAAAUCGAGGCGGACGGAAGUUUCACCCUAACACAAAUGUCACAUUCGUGGAUACACUACCACUAGUGAACUAUUACUCUUUCUCCGGGAGCUUCGGCUUCACCCUUGCCUAACCCCGGUUCAUUCCAAAACAUCUACAUGUGCCCAGGUUUGCCUGACGUUGAUGUAGGUGGUUGAGAAUAUUAUCUUUCAUUACUUACAAUACAAUAGAUACCAUAUAACACUAGAUACCUUAGGGCGAACGAUACUAUUCUUCCAAAACAUCCUGUUCAUUUUUAUGGCUAAGAAAGGGGGAAGUAUAAUCACAUGAAUCUUGGAGGGAAACGCAUUGGGGAAGUUAAUGAAUAUGGGCUCGAUCCCACUUUACCAUCAGUCCCCGGGGACGUUAGGGUAAUUCAUUACCGUCUCCAAAGGUGUUUUCCUUACCGCAAUUACUUAACACUCCCUUUCUUUACCACUUACAACCCAUAACAUAAAACAUUAGUUACAUCCUUAUCUUUCUUUCCAGCAAUCCUACCUCUUACAGCUUAGGUUAACAUCAAACUCCCUCAACACACUUCAAUGUAUCUACGUGGCGGGCUGCGGACUCUAGGGGGUGAUGGUUCUUCCUCUUCUUCCUCCUCAGGAAGAUUUAUCUCCUGUGCCCCCACUAACCACUCUUCCGUCCCAUUGUACGGUUUUACCUUUUCUGCGGCCCUCUGAAUCUCCUGUCCAGUAAACACAUUGGUCAACACGUAUGCACCACCAUUUAUCAUAACUUCCACAACCCACUAGUGCAUGGUUGUGUUACUUCCACUCUAACCCACACAAGGGUACCUGCUUCCACCUUUUGGUUUUUAAGCGUUCUAUUCGCGACUGCUCUGUAUCUGCGAGUCAUUUUCUGGUGAGUUUCUUUGAUUAUCUCGUGGGCUUCACGGAUACCUUCCUCACUCGCUUCCGUGUCCGGUAAAUCACUACUUAUCAAGCGAGGGGGGGGGUCGUGAAAAGAACGCAUAAUAAGGGGAGACACCGGUGGUUGUGUGUACGGCUGUGUUCAAUAUGGAUUGACACUGUAACAAUAGUUUUGGCCACCUUAACGGGUACCCUUGACAUAGACAGGCUAACACACUUUUCAUGGUGCGGUGCAUACGUUCCGUAAUACUGUUUCCUUGAGGGUGAUGGUACGGGGUCGUCAGAGCGGCCGUGAUUUUAUAUCUGCCACACAGGUCUCGAAAACUUUGCGCGGUAAACUCUUUCCCAUUAUCCGUUAACACUGUUUUUGGCGUUCCGAAAUCACAAAUAUUGCACAUUUCACAUGUCAAAGAGACUGCUCCGUAAUUUAGUGGUUCAAUUUUAUCUCCACUUCCAUAAAUUGGUACAAUGUGCGCUCCUUUCCAUUCUAAGGGCAGUUUUUCCGUAUUUAUAGAGCAUGUUAUUAUGUCAUAAAGUGGUUCCAAUAAUUUAAUUAUACACCCUUUUAGCACUUGUCCCGAGAUUCCAUCUGGUCCCAUCUUAGUAUGUUCUUAGUAUAUAUUUAUAUUAUUCAAAUAGACAUGUUUCGGUAUAUCCAGGACUUUCUACAUUAUCAGUCUGUUAUUUGCUAUAACAUGGCUCUGAGGAGAAGGUCACUCUACCAAAUGAGCCUGUACACUUACUUUAACAUUGUUUGCUCAUUGGCUGAUAUUAUAUAUCGACCAAGAAUUGGCAGACAAGGUAUGUGGAUUAGCUGCACAUACAUUUUUUUUAAAACAAAAUAUCCAAUGAAAUGCCUAUAUAUAUAAUAAUUGCUCAUGCCAACAGGUGGAGGACCCCCUAGAGAGGAGUUCUCCCAAGUUGAGGAGGCCCUGCUCGACCUUCUUUCUCCCACAGGGUAUGCAAGUCUGCCCAUUCCUGACAGCGAAGGUGGUUCUUUUAAUGCAGCUGGUGCUACACAGUGCCUUCCCUCCCAGGCUCUGGGUCCUGCUCAAGAAGGUACCCAUCCCUCCACAAGUGGUACACCGCAGGGAGAGUUUACUGUCAUGGUGAUUGAAGGCGAGGAGCGGAGAAUCCCAAUAAUAUCUGAUAGCAGCCUUGAGUCAAGGUUCCAUGGAGGAGAUUAAGGUGGCACCUCAGCUUCUUAAUGUAAAUGAAGUACGGGACCUUAUUUCCGACCUUGUGGGGACUCGAAGAGAGGCUGUGUCUUUACAGCGGGAGAAUGUGGCACUGCAGCGGGAGUGUGUUGCAAUGCAGCGGGAGACUGUGGCUGCCUUGCAGAAAUUAGCUGAAACACCAGCAGGCAUCCUAAAACUUGUCCAGGCUAUGGGAGGCCGAAUUAAAUAGGAAGCCAUAGGUUUUCCCCUCAUUUAAGCAAUUAAGGUUUAAAUCAUAUAGGAUUAAGCAUUUUUAUUUCCUGGAUUUUUUUUCUCCUUUAAUCACUAAGUUAUGACGUAAAUCUUAGAGGAUCAAGUUAUUUUGUCUUUCUUAAGGUUGUUAGUUUUUUCUCAUUGUUUUUUUGAGUUUAGGUGUAAAUAUUGAUUUUUUUUUUUUUUUUUGUCUUUUUCAGGAUUAAGUUUUGAUGUAAAAAAUUUUUUUUUUUCUAUCUGUGGCUUCUAGUCACGUUCCAUUUGCUCCCGAUACCAGAAUCUCAAGUUGAGCUGUGCUACAUUUUUAGUUCCUUAUGUUUCUAGUCCCCUUUUCCAUUUUUUUACCCAAUACCAUUUACCUCAAGUUGAGCUGCUAUAAUUUUAGUUUCUCAGGAUUCUAGUAUACCUCAAAGUGAGCUGUGCUGUAAUCUUAGUUUCUCAGGAUUGAUUAUAUUAACACAAAUAUUUUAUAAUGCAUAAGAGGUCAUAUUGGCAUGUACUCUUUUAUAAUAUUUUACUUAUACUAAAAUUUCUUUAUUUUUUU